CAACUUUUUAACCCACACUCAUUUUAACCAAUCACAUAAUCGAUGUUAUCUCAAUUAUUCUUUUUUAACCUCCAAAUCCUCAAUUGAAGGCACCACCCAAUCCUUAUCCUCCUACCUUAAAUUUGCUUUUACCUACAACCGUUAAAAUGCUCAAACGCAACGAGCAUUAUCACGGGUAGACGUUGGUUCCAAACCAGUAAGGGUUAGCUCAAUCCUCUAACCCACAUAGGGGUGGGCCUGAGUUACGCUGUGGGUUGGGCCAACCCAUGCUCUAAGUAAAUAUUUAGAGUACACUAAUGUAAAAACUGCUAAAGCAGAAUGUUUUUCGAAAAUGAUGGUUCUGUUACUUGUGUACAGUCGCUCCCAGGCUUCAAUUUCGACACAACAGUCAACAGAACGAGAUGGGUACCCGCGCAAUGCAGCGACGGUGACGGUAACGGGUAGUGCUAGUGGCGGUGGUGGUAACGAUAUUGUUAUUAAUCUAAAAUUGGUUUUAAAAUACUCCAUGUCAACUAAAGGUGCUUUUGGCAGAAGUUGAAGGUUUGAACACAAAAAUUGCCAAGUUGAAUUACAAGCUUAGAGAAUUCAAAAAGGAAGAGGAGAUAAAACUCAAAACCCAGAAUGAAGAAUCAAUAUUAAGCGCAUCCAUUGCUAUUCUUAAGAACAGGGUCGAAAUGGCUAAAAUUGCUAAAGAAAUGGGUUGUAAGCAUGCGGGUUGGAAUAUCAAAACCUGGGAAAAGACUUUGGCUGGUCUGGUUAUCAAAGAAGUUACCAAUGAUAUUUCAUCUCCUUUAAUUUGCUCAAAAAGUCUAAAAGGCUAAAAAAGAAAGAUGCAGGAGGAAAGGGUUUUUCAGAAGAUGAUGAGGAUACAAUCCAGAUUGAAUAGUAGUAAGGAUACUACUUUUUAAUGAUCCCUGAUGUUUGUUUAGUUAUGUAUGAACUUGAUCUUUUUUCUAUUUUCGUUGAACGUUCGUGUCCCCAAUAAAUAAUGUUUUAAACUAUGUUACGUUUGUUAUCGAAAUGUCAGGAGACUAUU